CUGCCCCUGGACCCAUGGGUGCGCGCGGCCGCCUGCCCCUAGUCUCCGAGCCGCCCCCGCAGCCACUGCCGCCGCUGCCUGCUAGGCCCUCGCCCUUCAGCCUGCUGGCGCCCCCAGCUACCCGCGACCCGUGGCCACUGCCCGCUUUGCCCCCGCCCCCGCCCCCGCCGCCGCCGCAUUUCUUCCUGUCGCCUCCCUGCUGACCCGGCGGUCCCGCGGCGGGAUCUGGAUGCCACGGCUAAGACCGUCCUCAGUUUAUGACUGUUGAAAAUUCUGAUCCUGCCUCAAAAGACUUGAGAAGUCUAACUUUCAACUGAAACAGAUCCAGGGGUUGGGCUGGCCGUGCAGACCAGGGAAGCUACGGUGUGGAUUGAUACUGGACCCGAAGGUCACAUGCAAGGGCUGUGAAGUCAUCCGCACGGGACAGGAGAGCUUCCCUACCCCUCCUUCCCGCGCUAGGCCCUGAGAGGAGGCUCCUGUUCUCUCUGGCUUUGCCCGAACCCCACCCGCCAGUUUCUGUGCAGCCUCUACGACUCAAUAAAGUUCUCUUUGUUCCCUAGGUGGCCUGAGCUCAGGUAAUCAGGCGGAAGUUCUAUCUCAGUGGGCUCUUCUCCAGCAGCCCAGGACCGGUAUCAGGAAGCUAACCUUGACCCUGGGGGACCCUGGAGAGCCGGGGACCCUGGAGAGCCCGGGACCCACCACCGAGAAAGGCAGUGUACUAGUUCCUUGUGACUGCAGUAACAAAUGUGUACACACUGAGUGGCUUCAAACAACAGAAACUUAUUCUUUACAGUUCUGGAGGCCAGAAGUCAGAAAUCAAGGUGUGGGCAGGACCAUGUUCCCUUCACCGGUGCUAGAGGAGGGUCCCUCCUGCCUCUCCCACUGCUUGGUGGCUCCAGGCCUUCUGUGGCUUGUGGCCACAUCACUCCAGUUCUCGCCUCCCUCUUCACAUGCCUUCUCCCCAGGUCUGUCUCCAAUCUCCCUGUUUUUAUCUUUUAAGAGGUCAGAUUGUCAUUGAAUGUAGGGCCCAUCUAAAAUCUAGAAUAAUCUCAUUUUGAUAUCCUCAAUUUAAUUACAUGUGCAAAGGCCCUUUUAUCAAGUAAGAUCACAUUCACAGAGUCCAGGGCCUAGGGCGUGGAGGUACUUUGCGUACCCCCAUCCAAUCCAGACAGGCAGUGUCUCUCUUCUUUGGGGCUGGCCUGCCUUCCCAGCUGUCUUCCCAGAAUGGAAUGUGUCUUAGGUCCUGUCUCAGUGACCUGGAGCCCUGGGUGCCCUUGGGCAGGAGCUGAUGGCACUAGUACCUUGAUAAAGGUCUUACUGGCACCUGAAGAAAA